rnacentral:RNase_P_RNA from 1 species
CCAGAUGGCCGGAUGACCGCCUUCGGAAACGGAGGAGGAAAGUCCGGGCUCCACGGAAACACGGUGCCGGGUAACGCCCGGCGGGGGCGACCCCAGGGAAAGUGCCACAGAAAGCAAACCGCCCGGCGCCGUCCUCGACGGAUCGGGUAAGGGUGAAAGGGUGCGGUAAGAGCGCACCGCGCCGCCGGCAACGGCGGCGGCAGGGCAAACCCCACCGGGAGCAAGACCGAAUAGGGAUCCACGCCGCGUGCGGCAGGCGGGUUUUCGCGCCGGGUCCGGGUAGGUCGCGCGAGGCGUCCGGCGACGGGCGUCCCAGAUGAAUGGUCAUCGCCCCUGCGGGGGUACAGAACCCGGCUUACAGGCCAUCUGGCACU